UGGGUAAUACCACUCCUGUCUUUGACUCACACACUUAGACUGAUAUUAUCUGAUGUUGCCCACUUUGAUUAGCUAGUAUAUAACAGCCAUUUAUUUCUUCAGCUUCAUUAAAAGUAAAAGCUUUUCUCUCAAAGUUGGAGCCAACUCAGGCAGUCCUAGUUACUUCUUAGAGCCAUUUACCAUUAAGUUUUUCAUUUUGUCUCAGGCAGCUAAGGAAAAUGAUGUUCUACAGUAAGGGUGGAUGUGGAGCUGCUUGAGACUUGAGUCUCGGUCUGUAAAAUGUGAGGUCCAACAGGGGCUGUGCAUAGUGAGCAGAGCAGCCUAUUCUGCUUAGAUUCUUACUGCAGCCGUUACACUCAUUUCACUUUUUUGUAAACCUAUUCUCCUGGGGAAGGAAGUAUUAUGUUCAUGAACUCCUUGUCACCUCUGAUAGUGCAUUCCUCCAUUUGAAAAGUGGUUCCUUUCCACUUUGUCCUUGCUCAGGCUGCAUCCUAGCAUGAACAGCCUUAGCCUGGCGUGAGCUGCUAUAACAUUUAUAAACCCCCCUUCCUGAGGGUUUAUAAUACAGUGCUGAGAAACACCGUGACUGAAGUCUGAAUACUGACAUUGAAUCUGAGGGCUGAGAAGGUUCCUGCAGUCUGUUUUAUUUUGACAGAAUUUAACAUACUAAGGCUUUUCCACUCUCUGCCAUAAACCUAAGUUUGUAAUGCUUUUGAGGUUCUAACAUGACUUGUUUUUCUUUAGGUGGAUAAAUUAGAUGCUUCGGAGUCACUGAGAAAAGAAGAAGAACAAGCUACAGAGACACAGCCCAUUGUUUAUGGUCAGCCCCAGCUGAUGCUAACAGCCGGACCCAGUGUGGCAGUCCCUCCCCAGGCACCUUUUGGUUAUGGUUAUACUGCACCACCAUAUGGGCAGCCACAGCCUGGCUUUGGGUACAGCAUGUGAGACGGAAGCUGAUCCCGUAGUCUCCUAUUUUCAUACUGAAGCAUCGUCCACCCACUUCUCAGUUUAUAAACGGGAAACAGGCAACGUGUUCUUGUAACCUUUACUUCAUGAAGGACUACUUUUUUGUUCUAACUAUAGACUCGGAUCGCCUAUGUUAAAACUUUAU
rnacentral:lncRNA from 1 species